AAACAUGACAUGUUAAAAAUCACUACUCACAUAGAUUUUAGUCAUCCUUACUCUUGAGCUUAUACUCAACUGCAAUAACCACUCACUAGCUCGCAUUUAAUCAUUUUAGAACAACAUUUGAAUGUAGUAACAUGCCUUAAAGAAUUUACUCAAUUCCUCACCGGAUAUACUCUCUAUUUUCACAUAGAUUUUCUGACUACACUCCCUAUACUAAGUAUAUGUGAGAAGAUUGAUGUAAACAUGUAGACUAGCACUCACAUAUGUUAUAAUCAAGAAGGCACUUUCUGGAAUUAUUAAUACAAACAUGUAUAAGAUCUUAUGAACGGAAUGCCACUACUUAGAAGGAGAACCAGGGAUUCCAUAUGCUCGUACCAAUUUCCAACUCCACAUAUUGAAACACAUAACAAUCAAGAUAAAAGUCUAGGGUUGUAACAGGGCUAAGGUAUUGGCUAACAAAGAAAGGUUAAGGAUAAACAAAGGUUCUUAAAGGAAUAGUAAGCAAAGUAAUGAAAUCAACACUUAGCAUUCAACUUUUGAUUGCAGUACCCAACUUUAAACACAAAGGGGAGAUUCUUACAACAUUUAGGGUCAAAUUCACAUUUUUGGACCCUUCUUCAACAACCAACACUUAUGAACUCAUUCUCACUUCUUUUCAAACUUUAUUUUUUUCUUUUCUCAACUUCUUUUGUUUUUCUUUCUUUUCUGUUUUUUUUGGAAACAUACAACAUACACACUACUUCACCAGAUUGAAAAGAAAAAAUUCUUCCCCCACACUUGUCUUUCUG
rnacentral:lncRNA from 1 species